GUGGAUGCCCGGUAUUUGUGUGAAACCCAUACUUUCUCCGUCCGCGACCCACCCACACCCGGGAGGCCUGGAGGUAAGGAUUUAACCAUCUGACGGGCAAGAGCAGAGGGACCGUGACGUCAUCAACAUCCGCCCACCGCGCGCCCGAGGUUGACAAGGUCAUGGAAGGCAGAGCUUAAGUGUUUAACUUGGUACAGCCCUCGCGCAGCACGUCUCCUUCGACGACUGGGCUUCUCAGAUCUCCUACAUCCAGAUUGCAUUUAGGAGGAAAGAAAGAAAGCCUGAAGCAGUCAAGACACAGAACCAGACCAGACGGGUGAUUCCAAACACUUUUCUUUCAGGUCUUAAGACUCAUUUUCUCACAUGAUUCCAUAAUGGAGGAGGGAUCAUGGGAAACAUUUUCCUUACCCUCAGAUUAAAGAAAGGACACUGAUUGGCCCCAUCCUGAGUUGGAGGGAUAAAAAGGAAUGUCCUGGGGAGCCAAACACCAGAGUUACCACGAUGCACUGCAGAAAGAAACUGGUGAAUUUUUUUUUUUCAAGCAAAGUGUUUUUUAAUUGAAGUGUAAUGCAUACAGAAAAGUACACACAUUCUAAGUAUAGAGUUUGGUGAAUGUUUACAAAGUGAAAACACCCCUGUAACUAUUACCAAGAUCAAGAAAUGAAACAUAACAUCUGAAUUUUUAAAAAGUUCUCUCUCUUUGCCGUGUCUCUCUCUGUCAAAUAAAUAAAUAAAAUCUUUUAAAAAAAUAAAUAA